AACGAACGCUGGCGGCAUGCCUAACACAUGCAAGUCGAACGAGACCUCCGAGUCGAGUUCUGCACGGAUACAUAACGCGUGGGAACCUCGCCCUAGGUACGGAAUAGCGACCAAAAUGGGGUACACAAACCGGUAACCGUUGUAAAACCAAAGAUUUAUCGCAUAUGGAUGUGCCAGCGUUGGAUUAGCUAGUUAGUAGGGUAAAAGCCUACCAAGGAGACGAGCCAUAGCUGCUCUGAGAGGAUGUUAAGCCACACUGGGACUGAGACACGGCCCAGACUCCUACGGGAGGCAGCAGUGGGGAAUAUUGGACAAUGGGCGAAAGCCUGAUCCAGCAAUGCCGCGUGAGUGAUGAAGGCCUUAGGGUUGUAAAGCUCUUUUACCCGGGAUGAUAAUGACAGUACCGGGAGAAUAAGCUCCGGCUAACUCCGUG
rnacentral:rRNA from 1 species